rnacentral:rRNA from 1 species
CGUCUAUAUACGUAUAGCAUAUCAAUAAGCGGAGGAAAAGAAACUAACAAGGAUUCCCUUAGUAACGGCGAGUGAAGCGGGAAGAGCUCAAAUUUGAAAUCUUCAAGGUUCUACCUUGACGAAUUGUAGUUUAAAGAAGUGUUUUCUGUUAGAGGAGUAGGCAAAAGUUCCUUGGAAUAGGACAUCAUAGAGGGUGAGAAUCCCGUAUUUGGUUAUUCUUUCUAGCUGUGUGAUACACUUUCAAAGAGUCGGAUUGUUUGGGAAUGCAGUCCAAAAUGGGUGGUAAAUUUCAUCUAAAGCUAAGUAUUGGCGAGAGACCGAUAGCGAACAAGUACCGUGAGGGAAAGAUGAAAAGAACUUUGAAAAGAGAGUUAAACAGUACGUGAAAUUGUCAAAAGGGAAGCGUUUGACACCAGUGUUGUUUUUCCGAAAAUCAAUUAAGAACGGCUUGAUUUUGUGUUGUAUUGACCUUAUCAGCUUUCUUCACUCUUUUUCGAGUCUUUCUUAAUGCACUUUUCGGUUAACAAGUCAACAUCAAUUUCUUUUGUUGUAAAAGGGUAUUUGGAAGGUGGCUUUCUUUUCGGAGAAAGUGUUUAUAGCCUUAUACCUCUACAAUCGGAGAGAUUGAGGUCUGCAGCGUAGAUCCUUCGGGGCUAGAUACACUUGUGCUAAGUUAUAGCUUUUCAUAGACAACUUGUUGACUAUGUUUAGUCAUGUAGCUUACCCGCUUGUGCUAUUUUACCUACGCUUAGGAUGUUGAGUCAUCACACAUCUCU